GACGAACGCUGGCGGCGUGCUUAACACAUGCAAGUCGAACGAAGUGGCGCGCGGGUGAGUCACGCGUAAUCAACCUGCCCUUAAGGGGGGGACAACAGUUGGAAACGACUGCUAAUACCUCAUACUGAAGCAGGGGAUUGCGUCUGAUUUGCUAGUGGGCGGGGUAACGGCCCACCAAGGCGAUGAUCAGUAGUCGGUUUGAGAGGAUGGACAGCCCAAUUGGGACUUGGAAACGGCCCAGGAUCCUACUGGAGGCAGCAGUGGGGAAUCAUUCGCAAUGGACGAAAGUCUGACGGAGCAACGCCGGGGGGGGGAUGACGGCCUUCGGGUUGUAAAGCUCUGUUAAUCGGGACGCGGUACCGGAAUAGAAAGCCACGGCUAACUACGUGCCAGCAGCCGCGGUAAUUC
rnacentral:rRNA from 1 species